ACAUUAAAAAAAUCAUUUAAAAAAAAUGAAUCCUUCCUGUGCUGCCUAGAAGGACUAAGAGAGGGAAAAAUAGCACACCCUGUAUCUCCCCAGUUGAGUAGUCAGAUAUUUAAUAAAGACAAGACCUCUGGACUUGGCAGCACAGGGCAGAAGAAAGAGGAGUCCUCAGCAUUUUCUGUUCCCGAGGCUGAAUGCUGUCACAAGCUGAUGAUUUGCGGUGGGACAGAAGUGGCCAAAGAGGCAGAAGCGGCUUGGCUGAACUUCUCAGCAAAAGUCUUUGGUUGGCCACCCGCUAAGGAAUGAACUUCACCAGUUCUGGACCCUGGGGCAGUCUGCACUGUUGGAAAGUCUUACUCUGAGACCGAUGGCACAUGAAGACUUUGGACAGCUGAUUGAACAAGUGCUCCGUGGCCCAUUUUCAUGCUUCCACGUGGAACCCAGGUGAGGCAGCCCAGGUGAAGAGUGUUAAUCCAAAACUGCACAGGUACAUGACCAGGGGCAGCCCGGCCGGGUGUGGUGAAUACUGUGUCUAUACAUCAGACAGAUGGUGUCAAGGGGUUGCUCUCUUCCUUAAAAACAAAACAAAACAAAACAAAA